GAUGAACGCUAGCGGCAUGCCUAAUACAUGCAAGUCGAGGGGUAGAAGAGAGCUUGCUUUCUUUGAGACCGGCGCACGGGUGCGUAACGCGUAUGCAACCUACCUUGAUCAGGGGGAUAGCGCGAAGAAAUUCGGAUUAACACCGCAUACGAACACAGAGUGGCCUCACGUAGUGUUUAAAUAUGUAUAGGAUCAAGAUGGGCAUGCGUGACAUUUCCUAGUUGGUGAGGUAACGGCGCACCAAGGCGACGAUGUCUAGGGGAUCUGAGAGGAUGACCCCCCACACUGGUACUGAGACACGGACCAGACUCCUACGGGAGGCAGCAGUAAGGAAUAUUUGUCAAUGGAGGCAACUCUGAACCAGCCAUGCCGCGUGCAGGAAGACGGCCCUAUGGGUUGUAAACUGCUUUUAUACGGGAAUAAACCCCUUUACGUGUAAAGGGUUGAAUGUACUGUAAGAAUAAGGAUCGGCUAACUCCGUGCCAGCCGCCGCAGUAAUAC
rnacentral:rRNA from 1 species